AUUGAACGCUGGCGGCAUGCCUUACACAUGCAAGUCGAACGGCAGCACGGGAGCAAUCCUGGUGGCGAGAGGCGAACGGGUGAGUAAUAUAUCGGAACGUGCCCAGUAGUGGGGGAUAACUGCUCGAAAGAGCAGCUAGUACCGCAUACGACCUGAGGGUGAAAGGGGGGGAUCGCAAGACCUCUCGCUAUUGGAGCGGCCGAUAUCAGAUUAGCCAGUUGGUGGGGUAAAGGCCUACCAAGGCAACGAUCUGUAGUUGGUCUGAGAGGACGACCAGCCACACUGGGACUGAGACACGGCCCAGACUCCUACGGGAGGCAGCAGUGGGGAAUUUUGGACAAUGGGCGCAAGCCUGAUCCAGCAAUGCCGCGUGCAGGAAGAAGGCCUUCGGGUUGUAAACUGCUUUUGUCAGGGAAGAAAUCCUCUAGGUUAAUACCCUUGGGGGGAUGACGGUACCUGAAGAAUAAGCACCGGCUAACUACGUGCCAGCCGCCGCGGUAAGAC
rnacentral:rRNA from 1 species